rnacentral:rRNA from 1 species
UACGGAGGGUGCAAGCGUUAUCCGGAUUCACUGGGCUUAAAGGGUGCGUAGGCGGGUUGAUAAGUCAGUGGUGAAAUCCCCGAGCUUAACUUGGGAACUGCCAUUGAUACUAUUGAUCUUGAAUACCGUGGAGGUCAGCGGAAUAUGUCAUGUAGCGGUGAAAUGCUUAGAUAUGACAUAGAACACCAAUUGCGAAGGCAGCUGGCUACGCGAAUAUUGACACUGAUGCACGAAAGCGUGGGGAGCAAACAGG